rnacentral:rRNA from 1 species
CCUACGGGAGGCAGCAGUAGGGAAUUUUCGGCAAUGGGGGGAACCCUGACCGAGCAACGCCGCGUGAACGAAGAAGUUAUUCGUAAUGUAAAGUUCUUUUAACAGGGAAGAAAGAGAAAUUUGACGGUACCUGAAGAAUAAGCCCCGGCUAACUACGUGCCAGCAGCCGCGGUAAUACGUAGGGAGCGAGCGUUAUCCGGAAUUAUUGGGCGAAAAGGGUGCGUAGAUGGAAUAGUAAGUCUUUUGUAAAAAUGCGGGGCUCAACCCAGUAGGGCAAAAGAUACUGCAAAGCUAGAGUAUGAGAGAGGCAAGUGGAACUACAUGUGUAGCGGUGAAAUGCGUAGAUAUAUGGAAGAACACCAGUGGCGAAGGCGGCUUGCUGGGUCGAUACUGACGUUGAGGCACGAAAGCGUGGGGAGCAAACAGGAUUAGAUACCCGAGUAGUC